AAGUCGUAACAAGGUUUCCGUAGGUGAACCUGCGGAAGGAUCAUUAACACGUAUCCAAACGUUAAAACCCCCCCCGUGAACAUUCAUCCUGCUCUUGUAACCCGCGAAGCUUGCAAUCUCUGGUAAAUCAUAGCCCGGAAAGUAGUUUUGAUUCAGAGACCUCUGGCCCGUGAGAUUCUUUGAGACGUUGGGUUGGGCAAUUGUAUCCUACAGGAAGACUAAUCUCACUGUUCAGUCUCCAUUCAUUGACUUUUUCAGUGGGAACCCAUUUUAACCUAUUUCACCCCCUUUUUGCUAGUUGACUUUUAUAUGUUGUAUUGUUGUUUCGGCAAUGAUGCACACGUUUAAUUAUUUGAACGUUAAAAAUACAACUCUUAGCAAUGGAUAUCUUGGUUCUC
rnacentral:misc_RNA from 1 species